AUUAGCGGCGGACGGGUGAGUAACACGUGAGUAACCUGCCUUAGACAUUGGGAUAGCCUCGGGAAACCGGGAUUAAUACCAAAUAAAAUCAUAAUGACACAUGUCAUAACGAUCAAAACUCCGGCGGUCUAAGAUGGACUCGCGUCCCAUUAGCUAGUUGGUAGAGUAAAAGCCUACCAAGGCGACGAUGGGUAGCCGGCCUGAGAGGGUGAACGGCCACAUUGGAACUGAGAAACGGUCCAA
rnacentral:rRNA from 1 species